UAAAAUGGAUAGAUUUCUGGAGAAUAAAACUUUAUCCAGAUGUUGUACAUGACUUCACAGGAUUUAUGACAGAGCCAGUCAAGGAAAUUAUAAAAGAGAUUGUGGAUAUGGC